UACGGGGGGGGCAAGCGUUGUUCGGAAUUACUGGGCGUAAAGGGCUCGUAGGUGGCCAACUAAGUCAGACGUGAAAUCCCUCGGCUUAACCGGGGAACUGCGUCUGAUACUGGAUGGCUUGAGUUUGGGAGAGGGACGCGGAAUUCCAGGUGUAGCGGUGAAAUGCGUAGAUAUCUGGAGGAACACCAGCGGCGAAGGCGGCACUCUGGGCUGGAACUGACGCUGAGGAGCGAAAGCGUGGGUAGCAAACAGG
rnacentral:rRNA from 1 species